rnacentral:rRNA from 1 species
CGAAGUAGCAAUACUUAGUGGCAGACGGGUGAGUAACAUGUAGGUAUCUACCCUUUGGCCUGGAAUAACACGAGGAAACUUGUGCUAAUACCGGAUAAGUCUUUACGGAGAAAGCUUUAUGCACCAUUGGAUGAGCCUGCACUUGAUUAGUUAGUUGGUAGGGUAAUGGCCUACCAAGACUUUGAUCAAUAGCUGAUUUGAGAGGAUGAUCAGCCACAUUGGGACUGAGACACGGCCCAAACUCCUACGGGAGGCAGCAGUGGGGAAUCUUGCACAAUGGAGGAAACUCUGAUGCAGCGAUGCCGCGUGAGUGAAGAAGGCCUUUGGGUUGUAAAGCUCUUUCGUCGGGGAAGAAAAUGACUGUACCCGAAUAAGAAGGUCCGGCUAACUUCGUGCCAGCAGCCGCGGUAAUACGAAGGGACCUAGCGUAGUUCGGAAUUACUGGGCUUAAAGAGUUCGUAGGUGGUUGAAAAAGUUGGUGGUGAAAUCCCAGAGCUUAACUCUGGAACUGCCAUCAAAACUUUUCAGCUAGAGUAUGAUAGAAGAAACAGAAUUUCUAGUGUAGAGGUGAAAUUCGUAGAUAUUAGAAAGAAUACCA